rnacentral:rRNA from 1 species
GGACCUGACUGCUAUCGGAUUGAUACUAAGCCAUGUGAGUCGUUGUAGCAAUACAAGGCAGACGGCUCAGUAACACGUAGCCAAUCUACCCUAUGGACGGGGAUAACCUCGGGAAACUGAGGAUAAACCCCGAUAGAUCAUUAUGCCUGGAAUGGUUAAUGGUUCAAAUGAUUCGUCGCCGUAGGAUGGGACUGCGGCCUAUCAGCUUGUUGGUGAGGUAAUGGCCCACCAAGGCUAUUACAGGUACGGGCUCUGAGAGGAGAAGCCCGGAGAUGGGUACUGAGACACGGACCCAGGCCCUAUGGGGCGCAGCAGGCGAGAAACCUUUGCAAUGUGCGCAAGCACGACAAGGUUAAUCCGAGUGUUUCCUGCUAAAGGAAUCUUUUGUUAGUCCUAAAAACACUAGCGAAUAAGGGGUGGGCAAGUUCUGGUGUCAGCU